GUAAAUUCUGUGCUGGAGGCUGGGGGAAUACGGAGGGGUCGAGCGUUAAUCGGGUGUUCGGUGCGUAUAGCGUUCGUAGUCGGUUCAGUAAGGCUGUGGGGAAAUCCCUGGGCUUAACCUGGGAACUGCAGGCGAUACUGGUGAACUAGAGGGCGGUAGAGGGUGGCGGAACUCCGGGUGUAGCGGUGAAAUGCGUAGAUAUCCGGAAGAACACCGAUGGCGAAGGCAACCACCUGGGCCUGCACUGACGCUGAGGUACGAAAGCGUGGGGAGCAAACAGGAUUAGAUACCCCUGUAGUC
rnacentral:rRNA from 1 species